rnacentral:rRNA from 1 species
GACGAACGCUGGCGGCGUGCUUAACACAUGCAAGUCGAACGGAAAGGCCCUUUCGGGGGUACUCGAGUGGCGAACGGGUGAGUAACACGUGGGUGAUCUGCCCUGCACUUUGGGAUAAGCCUGGGAAACUGGGUCUAAUACCGAAUACACCUUGCUGGCUGCAUGGCCUGGUGGGGGAAAGCUUUUGCGGUGUGGGAUGGGCCCGCGGCCUAUCAGCUUGUUGGUGGGGUGAUGGCCUACCAAGGCGACGACGGGUAGCCGGCNUGAGAGGGUGUCCGGCCACACUGGGACUGAGAUACGGCCCAGACUCCUACGGGAGGCAGCAGUGGGGAAUAUUGCACAAUGGGCGCAAGCCUGAUGCAGCGACGCCGCGUGAGGGAUGACGGCCUUCGGGUUGUAAACCUCUUUCAGUAUCGACGAAGCGCAAGUGACGG